UAUUACUGUAAAUACUAUUACAAAUACUACUACUCUGAAGCUAACUAGGCCAGGCCUGGUUAGUACUUGGAGGGGAGACUGCUGAGAAUACCAGGUGCCACAGUGGAAC
rnacentral:rRNA from 1 species